CCUGCUCCUAGGGGCAUUGCAGGCGUGGCUGAUGUGUCACAUGCCACAUGUCAAUAGGUGGCAGAGAGGAGAAAAGCUAUGUGUAUGCUCAGUGUUCUGGCUUAUGAACAUAUGAAUGAAUAGUAGCCUAACAUU